rnacentral:rRNA from 1 species
UACGUAGGGUGCAAGCGUUGUCCGGAAUUAUUGGGCGUAAAGAGCUCGUAGGCGGUUUGUCGCGUCGGAUGUGAAACCCCCGGGGGCUUAACCCCGGGCCUGCAUUCGAUACGGGCUGACUAGAGUUCGGCAGGGGGAGACUGGAAUUCCUGGUGUAGCGGUGAAAUGCGCAGAUAUCAGGAGGAACACCGGUGGCGAAGGCGGGGUCUCUGGGCCGAUACUGACGCUGAGGAGCGAAAGCGUGGGGAGCGAACAGG